GGGGGGGGCAAGCGUUGUUCGGAAUUACUGGGCGUAAAGGGUUCGUANGCGGUGUGGCAAGUCGGGAGUGAAAUUUCUGGGCUCAACUCAGAGACUGCUUCCGAAACUGCUGUGCUUGAGUGUGGGAGAGGCGCGUGGAAUUGCAGGUGUAGCGGUGAAAUGCGUAGAUAUCUGCAGGAACACCCGUGGCGAAAGCGGCGCGCUGGACCACUACUGACGCUGAGGAACGAAAGCUAGGGGAGCAAACAGGAUUAGAUACCCUGGUAGUCCUAGCCCUAAACGAUCAGGACUUGGGGUGCCACCCGUUCGGGUGUCGUCCCGGAGCUAACGCGUUAAGUCCUGCACCUGGGGAGUACGGUCGCAAGACUG
rnacentral:rRNA from 1 species